ensembl:lincRNA
UCCCUUGGCUCAUGGAGAAAUUUAAAGUUUCAUUUUUAAUUAUUUAUUUAUCUUAUGUAUAUGAGUACACUGUAGCUGUCUUCAGACACACCAGAAGAGGGCAUUGGAUCCCACUACAGAUGGUUGUGAGCCACCAUGUGGUUGCUGGGAAUUGAACUCAUGACCUCUGGAAGAGCAGUCAGUGCUCUUAACUGCUGAGCCAUCUCUCCAGCCCUCAUGGAGAACUUUAAAGCAGUCAGUCUUAAGGCUUUUCUUGUGUUCUGGGUGAGUUUCUUGUUUAAAAAUAUUGAAAACUGAAUGCAUACAAUCAAUUCAUAUUAGGACAUUUUCUCAUAUUUUUAUUUGCUUUGAUUUUCAACUCUUUUUUUUAAAAAAUAGGUUUCUAGCAUAACAAUUGUGCUUCUGAUUUCAAUUAUAUUUACUCUUAAAAAUUGGUUUAGUCAUUUUUCUCUGAGAAGUGGGUCAUGUGUUUGGAAUAAAAUUAUCAAUUCAUAACACAAUAUUUGGAAAAUACCAAAACGUUUAAGUAAACAGCUCUUUGGGAACAGGAAGGUCUGGUACCUUUUAUCUGCGUUCUAACAUUGGCUCACUGCAGGUGCCUGACAGUGUGGCGAUAAAAGUCUACUUGUAGGAUAACCACCCACACCAAGUUGGAUGGAAGACUCCUGAAGCUCCCCCAAAGACUGAAGCCACUAUGGUUGUCUGUGGAAGAACCCCGCCUUUCUCCCACCUGUAAAAGGAGUCACUGAGGGUUCACAGAAUUAAAUUGUCGAUAGAGGGCGCCAGAGGAUGGGGAAGAAACUACAGACAAGGGCAUUGGCAUAUUUCUUUGGUUUAAAUUACAAUUAAAAAAAUUGAAAAGGAAAAAAAUUGAAAAGUCACUUUUUCAUCGUGUAAAGAGGAUAUCAGGACUUCCUUUUCCGCGUGUAAUUUCUGUCUCUCCAGGCCGGAGUCUCGCAGAGCGAAUCCCCUGCUACAGCCAGUGUGUGAUGCGCAGGUGGUCUGUGAAGCCCGGGGAACCUUUUUAUUUCUUCCUCUUUACCAGGGGCCACGACCCAUGUUUCUUUCCCCAGUCAGAGCAUCAGAAAUCUCUCUUCCUCUUGCAUUUUUAUUAUUAGCAAUUUAAGCCUCCUUACUGGGAAAUGAAUUGACAGAGCCAAACACUAGAGCUCUGGCCUCGAGGCCUGUGCAUUGUCAGUUUCUGGGAAAACUAGCUAGUAACAUAGAGCAGCAGAUGUGCAGCCUGCAGCAUGGUGGGCAACAGAGACAGUAACCCAACAUCCAUACAGUUAUAGAGCAACAUCCAUAUAGUUAUACAGUCACCCCAACAAAGCAUCGUUGAAGCUGAGAUCUGGAAACCACCAGGCACUAACUGGGUGAAGUAAGAGGGGUUAAAGAAGAGUCCAGGCACCGCACAGGCCGAGGGCUGGGGCCUGGGAAAUGAGCCAGGGAAGGGGGCUGAGCCGGAAGCACUGUGAUACCAUCAUCGACUCACUAUUACUGGGGGGGGGGGGGGAGUUUGGUCUUGGUUGCCUGUGUGAUGUGAAGCCCUUGACAAGCGGAUGAUGGAAUUAGAUUUAUGUCCCCAAUUUUCAAAGUUGGAAAACAGUUUAGAAUUGUUCUCAUUAGCUGUAUUCUGUGGAAGAGACAUCAAACAUUUAUGACAUUAGACUCCAACUUCUUGGGUGACUGUAGUCCUCAAUGUUGGCUUUUAAUGGCAUCUCCAGCCUUCUAUGUCAUUGUGUAAGCAUUCCUAGGAGAGCUGGCCGAAGCCAGCGUCAUUACAUACGUGUACAAUUGCAUAGAAAGAUUCUGGGAUGUAGCCAGGCCACUAAUGUCCGAGGAAUGACACGGUAAGAGGCUACAAUCUGAACUCCAGAUGUUGCUGUGUUAUUUAAAAUGUUUAAGGCAAAGCUUAAUUGGUCUUCUAAUUAGCAAAACUUGUAAAAACCACUAUCAUUUCCAAU